UCGCAACUUGCCGAAGAAGUUUUCUUGAGAGAAGGAAGAAAGAAAAAAUGGAGUCUUCGAAGGCUAUUCCCCAUGAAAUCGGAGGGAUCCAGAAUGAUGCCCUUCGAUUUGGACUCCAAGGCGUGAAGAGCGAUCUCGUCGGAUCUCAUCCCGUCGAAUCCCUCUAUGAAACUACAAGAAGAACUGAAGAGGAGAUGAAAAGGAAAAUUCUUGUGAAUACAUAUGGAUCUGCUUUUCCAUUGAAGAUGGAUUUGGACAGGCAAAUUCUUUCUAGAUUUCAAAGGCCUCCAGGACCUAUUCCAUCUUCAAUGCUGGGAUUGGAGGCUCUUACUGGAAGCUUGGAUGACUUUGGCUUUGAAGAUUAUCUAAAUGACCCAAGGGAAUCUGAAUCUUUGAGGCCAUUGGAUAUGCAUCAUGGAAUGGAAGUUCGCCUUGGUCUGUCCAAGGGACCAGUUUGCCCAAGCUUCAUGUAAUCUAAUCUAAGAGAUCCAUCAGAUCAGACACCACAAUUUCAUGGAUCAGACACCACAAUUUCAUUAUGAUUUUGUUGACCUCUGUUUGUUGGUCAGGACAUCUUUGUUUCCUAUGACUCGAACUCUCUUAGCUUCAUAGUCAAUGUUAUCUGUUUGUUAUCACUACCUUUUAUCUGAUUUCUUCCUAUAAAU
rnacentral:misc_RNA from 1 species